AUGACGUCAAGUCCUCAUGGCCUUUAUGUCUAGGGCUACACACGUACUACAAUGGCCGGUACAAAGGGCAGCCACUCAGCGAUGAGGCGCUAAAUCCCAUAAAGCCGGUCUCAGUCCGGAUCGCAGUCUGCAACUCGACUGCGUGAAGUUGGAAUCGCUAGUAAUCGUAGAUCAGCAUGCUACGGUGAAUACGUUCCCGGGCCUU
rnacentral:rRNA from 1 species